rnacentral:lncRNA from 10 species
UAAUGAUGACACUAGCAGUCCAGCCUGCAUGGAUGCUGACAUGGAUGCUGUCUCCCAUUCUUACCACUGGAUGGGAAGAAAUGCUAGAUGCAAUCCAGCCAGUCUGUACUCGACUGUCAGUUCCAUCUUCUCAACUCACAGUGUCUUCCAAAGUCCGUGCCACACCACAGCCUGGAACAUCUCCCAAGGUUUCAAAUAAUUCAUCAGUGAAUUCUUCUCAACCUGGUCAAUCAUGUGAACUUAGAAGAUGAUUCCUCCCCAGCUGAUCCUCAGGUGAGACAUCAGCCUUGGCCAUCAUCUACAUCUGGAUUCCUGACCCAGAGAAACUACAGGCAUGCAUAUGUUAUCCCAGCUUCUGGGGAGGCUGACUUGGGAGGAUUGCUUGAGCCCAGGAGUUCCAAACUGAAGUGAGCCAUGAUUGUGUCACUGCACUCCAGCUUGGGAAACAGAGGGAGACCAAGACUCAAAAAAAAAAACUGGCCUCAGAAGGAAUUUUAUGGAACCUUGUAUUCUGUUGAAUACCAGAAUUAUAUCAGCAAUCCCAAAGUCACCAAAUGGGCAUCAUCAUGACAGCAGACCGUGAUCAUGGGCUACAUUCUCCGUACCAGCUUCAUAGCUCCAGUGAGAAAAUAAAUUCCUGCAUCCAGGAGAUGUGGAGUAAGAGAUACAGCUGCCCUUGACCAUAUUUCUUACUUCCGAGAAGAUCGUAGCAGUAAUUCAGAAUCUCAUCCAGGAUACCUCAUCACAGGCUGGAGUGCAGUGUCAUGAGCUUGGCUCACUACAGCCUCCAUCUUCUGUGCUUAAGGAUCCUUCCCUCUCAACCUCCAAGGUAGCUGAGACUACAGGUAUGUGCCACCAUGCUGGACUAAUUUAUUGUUGUUGUUGUUGUUUGUUAGAUUUUUGGUAGAGGCAAGGUUUCACCAUGUUGCCCAGGCCAGAGUCAAACUCCUGGGCUCAAGUGAUAUUUAUUUUGUUAUAGAGAUGGGGUCUUAAUGUGGUGCCCAGGCUAGUCUGGGAUUACAGGUGUGAGCCACUGUGCCUUGCCAAAAACUGCCAUUCUCAUCAUAUCGUACCAAGAGUACAAACUCAACAAGGGUACAAACUGUCAACCAGAGUAGACAUUCAUUAUUGGCAGAAUGUCUACAAAUUCCUUUAAACCUUCACCAUAAACAUGUGCCUACUCUCUUCCAAUUAUUUCAUGUGUAUUAAUUUAUUCAUUUAUACAUGCAUCUUUUAUUUAUAUCAUUAUCUAAAUAUGGAGAUUUAUUUUACAAUGCGUAUGUGCUAUUUUUUUUUUUUUGAGACAGAGCCUUUCUCUGUUGCCCAGGCUGGAGUGCAAUGGUGCGAUCUCAGCUCAUCGCAACCUCUGCCCCCUGGGUUCAAGCGAUUCUAGUGCCUCAGUUUCCUGACUGGCUGGGAUUACAGGCAUGAGACACUACACCUGGCUAAGUUUUGUGUUUUUAGUAGAGACAGGGUUUCACCAUGUUGGCCAGGUUGGUCUUAAACUCCAUACCUCAGAUGAUCCACCCUCCUCGGCCUCCCAAAGUGCUGGGAUUACAGGCAUGAGCCACCAUGCUUGGCCGCUAUUUUUUUUUUUAAUUGCACAAAUUGUUCCAGUGUUGGCUAUUGGAAGGUUUUUAAGUUGUCUCUUGUAUCACUUUGAAAUACCUCCAUAAUUAAAGUUUGAUGUUGUGUGGUUGGUUGGUUUUGUUGUUGUUUGGCAUUUUCUUUUGUUCAGUCACUAUUAUAUGCUCCAGUCUAUGAAUUUAAUUGUGCUCCAGGGUAAUUUGGUAAUUUUAUAAUUUCUACGAAUGUUUCCAACACCAUAUGACCUAAUCCAGCACCAUAUAAAUGGAUCCACUCAUUCUCUCAUUUGUAUGUAAUCUAGCACUCCCUGCAAGCAAGUUGAUGUUGUUAAUUUAAUCAUGCUACCUGAACAAGGUAUAUUGCUAUGUAGAAAAAUACAAGUUGAAACAGUCAAAAUACUGUGUAAUUCCAUUCAUAUGACUCUGUAGAAAAGGAAAAAGUGUAGUGAUAGUAGAGUUCAGUGGUAACAAGGGGCUUGGGAGAGAUAUAGGUGACAUCAGUGAACUACCGAAGAUUUCUUUUGGGCAGUGAAAUUCCUCUUUGAUACUGUAACGGUGGAUACAUCAUAAUGUUUUCCAAAUCCUGAAGAACUUUGUAACACAAAGAGUGUAGCUAAUUUAUGCAAAUUAAAAACCUUAUUUAGGAGGUCACAAGUUUGCCUUUUCACAGUAUUUUACCUUUUCCAACUUAUAUUUUUUAGCAAUAUGCUUUUUAGAUUUUUGAAGUACACCUCAUGGUUUUUAGAUUUGCCUUCACCUAAUUGUUGUAGGACAGGUGAGUCACACAAUUGGGGCUUAUCCUGAGAGGGUUAUUAGCUUUGUCCAGGAAAGAAUUUAAGGGCAAGUGGGUGAUGUUAGACUGCAAUAUUUUAUUGAAUGGUACUGCUCCUAGCAGAGCAGGGCUAACUCUUAAGCAGUGUGUUCAGAGUUGGCAACAUAUAGGCCUCCUGGCAACUGUGUUUAUAUGCAAUCAAACCCACUUUUAAUUAUAUGCAAAUUGAGGGGCAGAUCAAUGCAAAUUGAGGCAGGAAAGGGGCAGUGACUUCUAGGUUGUCUCCAUGGAAAGGGGCAGUAACUUCUGAGCUGUAGCCAUGGAAUUUGUAAACAGUUAUGUGGUUGGUAGGAGUGUCAUAUGAGUGACAAAUGAAGACUGCCAGGGAUCACAUUUACCACAAUGUACACGCUUCUGUCAGUUUUUUCCCUUUAUCCUGUCUGGAGCAGAUCUUAUUUUGGUCAUCAAGGUUGUGAAACCAGAAAACAAGUCCUUCCAGUCUCCUACCUCAUAAUGACAAAAGACAUUGAGCAUAAUUUCAUGUGAUUUUGGAUAUGACUAUGGCUUUCUUUUGAGAGUUGGCUAUUUAAGAUUUUGCCAUUUUUGAUUGGGAUAUUUGCCUUUUUAAUUUUGAGUUGUAAGACAUUGUAUAUUCUGGAUAAUAGACCAUUAUCACCUAUAAAAUUUGCAAUUUUCACAUAUUUUCUGCCAUUCUUUGGGUGCCUCUUUAUAUUUGAUGGUGGACUUUAAAUUGCAAAAGAUUUUAAUUCUAAUGAAGUUUAAUAUUUCUAUAUUUUCUUCUUUCCUUUGUGCUUUUCAGUGUCAUAUCUUAAAACAUUGUUUAACCAGAGACCACAAAGAUGUAUUCCUGUGUUCCUUUUUAUGGGUUGGCCCUGUUUAGCUCUUAUAUUUAGAUGGAUUAUCAUUUUGAGUCAAUUAUGUUUCUGGUAUGAGGCAAGAGUCUAACUUGCAUGUGGAUAUCCACUUGACCCACAAACAUUUGACAAGAAAAUAUUGCUUCAUACCUAAUUUAUUUGGCCACAGUAUAAAAGCAUUUCACCAUAAAUGUAGGGAUUCAUUUUUCAGUAUUAUAUUCUCUACUCCAUUGAUCAAUACAUAUAUCCCUAUACUAGUACCACAAAUCUUGAUUACUAUUACUUUGUAGUAAGUUUUGCAAUCAAGAAGCAUAUGUCUACUAUGCAAACCCUUUUUGUCCUUCUCAAGAGUGUUUUGGCUGCUCAUGAUCUAUAUUAUAUAUAAUUUUAGGAUAAACUUCUGAAUUUAGGGGAAGGUAAUGCCACCUGGUGUUUUGAGAGAAGUUGCAUUAAUUCUAUAGAUCCAUUUGGAAAAUAUUGCCAACCUAACAAUAUGCAUUCUGUAGUUUUUAGUGUACAUAUCUUAUACUUAAUUUGAUAAGGUUAUUCCUAAGUAUUUUUGAUGUGAUCUUAAUUGGAACGAUUUUCUGAGUUUUGUUUUUAGAUUGUUAAUUGCUAGUAUAGAGAAAUUUAAAAUAUUUUAUAUAUUUUAUAUGCUGCAAACUUCUUUGAACUCAUCUUUAAAUUCUAAACAUAUUUGAUAGAGUCCUUUGGACUUUUUAUACAUGAGAUCAUGUCAUUUGCAAACAGUCGGAGUUUGACUUCCUUUCCAUACUAGAAACGUUAUAUUUAUUUUUCUAAAUGAAUUGCCCUGUCUACAUUCUCCAGUACAAUGUUGCGAACAAGUGUCAACAGUGGAAAUAUUUGACUUCUUUCUAAUAUCAGAGAAAUUAGUGAACCUUUCAGAUUACUUAUGAUGAUAUGUGAGCUUUUCAUAGAUGCCCUUUGAAAUGAAGAAAGUUCUCUUAUCUGCCUAAUUUGCUGCAUGUUUUUAUAAUACUGAAUCUGGGAAUUUUCAAGUGCUUGUUGCACACCUUCUGAGACGAUUGUGUAGUUUUUAUUCUUUAUUAAUAUAGUGUAUGACAUUAAUUGUAUCAUAUGUUGAACCAAAUUUGCAUUCCUGAGGUAAAUACCUUUUGCCAUAGUUUAUAAUACUUUCUACAUGUUGCUGAUUUCAUUUGAUAAUAUCUCGCUGCUGAUUUUUGUCUCUGUAUUUAUAAGGCAUAUUGGUCUUCAUUCUCCUUAUUUGAAAUGUCUUUGUGUAGUUGUUCAAUCAGGGUAAACUAAUUCAUAGUAUACAAUGGGAAGUGAUCUAUUUUCUACUUCUUUAUUAUUAUUGUAUUGUUUUGAAAUAUUUUUGAUAAAUUAGUAUUAAUUUUAAGUGAUUUUAAUAACACAUCAAUGAGUUCCUGAUGAGGGCAGGGAGGUGAAUCCUAAGAACAAUCAUGUGAGUUUGGAAGGAGACCCUUCCCCAGCUGAGCCUCAGCCUGAGCCAUCCCCUACAUCUAGACCGAAGACCCAGAGAAACCGUGAGUAGUAUGUGUGUGGUUCUGAGCCACUAAGGUAUGUAGUAAUUUGUUAUGCACCAAGUAGUAAGUAAUAUACCUGACAGUAAUUGUUAGGUGGUAUUCUGGAUUAGGUCCUGGAAUAGAUAAGUAUAUGAUUAUUAGAAAACCUGGUAAAAUAUGAAGGAAGUUUGUAGAUCAGUUAAUAGUCUUGAAAAACAGUUAAAUUCUUAGUUUUCAUGAAUAUGCUAUGGUUACAAUAUAUAUUAACAUUCUAGUUAUCUGAAUGGUAUAUGAAACUGUCUGUACUUACCUAUGUGCAUUUAUGUAAAUCUGCAGUUAUUUCAAAAUAAAUAUGUUUUUUAAUAUUAUUAUUAUUUUUUUAAGAAAAGUAAGCAAGUAAAGACAUCAGCAAAAAACUUUUGCCUCCAGAUACAAGUGGGCAUGUAGGGAGAGAAUAGUAAACUGGCUUUUCUUUUCUUUUCUAGGCAACAUUCGAAACCCAGGUGCCACUCCUUCAGGAAGGUACCAUCAAGCUCCAAGGACUCAUCCUCUUUCUCCUUCCCCACUACCUAGUCAUUAGAGCGUCAGCAUCCACUUCCUGAAAGGAAGAUGCCUGUUUUUCACAUAUCCCAGAAAGCCUCAUUUUAGGACAGCAUUUAGCAGAGUGUAUUCAGGAUCCCACUAACCUUUUCGGAAGACAUGACUUCCAGAUGAUAUAAGGCAAGAAUAAGAAAUUUCAGUGACAGGGAACAGAAAUCAUAUUUCUGCAUUCAGGAUCAUGUUUUCUUGGCUCCAUCAGGAACUGUGCAGGACUGUGCACUCUGUUGAUACUCACAUGGUGGAAUUAUAUUGCCCUUGGCCAACCCUAAAGCCAUCAAGAUAGCAGGUUUGGAAUAAUUCACUGUCGAAGUCUUCUUGAGCUGAGCAGUCAUGUGAGCUUGGAAGAUGAUCCCUCUCCAGCUGAUCCUUCAGCUCAGGCCAUCAUCUACAUCUGGAUUCCUGACCCGGAGAAACUAUGAGUAAUGUGUGCUGCUUUUGAGCCACUAAGCUACAUGAAUUAAUGAAGGAUCAUUAUUAAGUUUUUAAUGGGUCAAGAGAAAGUUACCACUGAGGUCUUCUCUACCUGGGCAACAAUUGACUCCUAACAACCACUAUAAGCUUGGAAGAUGAUCCCUCCCCAGCUGAUCCUUCAGUUCACAUGAAGCAUUUGGAAGUAAACACACGAUGGACUGAACACUUUGCUGCUUAGAAACUUCUUCUUCCAGAUUCCCUAGUUCAUCAUUAAGUAGUUAGGCCUCUCACAAAGCCCUUGGUCACGGAUACAGGUCAGCCGUUCUUUACCCAAUCAAAACAGGGAUGGCCUUUACUGCAGUUACUAAUAUCUUGUUUUUUAGUUUCAUCUGACAUUUUGUCAGAAUGGCCCUUAUGUCAGUAUUUCUAUCAGCAGUGAGGACUAAACUCUGAUUUUUUUAUCUUGCCCAAAUUCCUAUCUAAAAGGUCUGGGGAGUCAUGCCCUACAAAUGAUAAAUUCUCAUCAGAUGGGUUUUAUUUGACCCUGUAUAUCGUGACUUACUUUCCAACCUGACUGUGGCAUAACAUUACAAAAGAAGGAAGAAAAUCAAAAUAUUUUACUCCAAAAACAUGUUUCUUUGUUGCAUUUUGAAAUGGUCCUGCAAGCCAUCCUUUGUGGAGGAAAAUUCACGUCUGUAAAGAAUCUCUAUUAGCCUCUAUAUCUAUAGAGGUUAAUAUAUAUCUAUAUGUUAGCCUCUAUAUAUAUAAUAUAAUAUAAUCUAUAUCUAUAACCUCUAUAUCUAUAUCUGUAAAGAAUCUCUAUUAACCUCUAUAUCGAGGUAUAAUCUCUAUACCUCGACCUUUGUCUGUCAGGCCCUUCCAAUUCUGAAUAGAUUAGGUAAGAGUGUAGCACCUUUUAAAGUCUGAAUAGGCAACAUUUGUCAUCUAUUAUCUCUAAGUGCAAUGGCUAUGAGACUUCAAAAGAACCUUGGUCUCCAAAGUCUUUUGUCUUAACCUGAACAUUUCCUUUCUAUUGAUCCCAG